CACGGGGGGGGCAAGCGAUGAUCGGAAUUACUGGGCGUAAAGGGCGCGUAGGCGGGUGGACAAGUCUCUCGUGAAAGCCCACGGCUCAACCGUGGAAUUGCGGGAGAUACUGUCUGUCUUGAGUCCGGGAGAGGAGGGUGGAAUUCCCAGUGUAGCGGUGAAAUGCGUAGAUAUUGGGAGGAACACCGGUGGCGAAGGCGGCUCUCUGGACCGGUACUGACGCUGAGGCGCGAAAGCUAGGGGAGCAAACGGG
rnacentral:rRNA from 1 species